rnacentral:lncRNA from 1 species
GAACUUGUGACUUCGCGCAGGAAAGAGUUUCCCAACUAUCUGCCAGUCGGACCACUCGUACCUCAUGCGCUUCUGCAAGAGCACGAAACUAUCAGUUCUCCAGAAGAAGACACUAGUAUCAGCUGGUUGGACAAACAACCUCACCGCUCGGUUCUCUACAUCGCCUUCGGAAGCGUCAUCUCCCUCCCGGCUGAUCAAGUGGAGAAGAUCGCUAAAGCUGUGCAAGCCACUCACCAGCCAGUCUUGUGGGCGAUCAGACGAAACUUUGCAAGCGACGCACCUGAAAACUUCUUCGAAAGCCUGCAAGAAAAAGUUGGAGAGCACAGUUUAGUUGUGGAAUGGGCUCCACAAGUGCCUGUCUUGCGC